UGCAGUCGAGCGGAUGACGGGAGCUUGCUCCUUGAUUCAGCGGCGGACGGGUGAGUAAUGCCUAGGAAUCUGCCUGGUAGUGGGGGACAACGUUUCGAAAGGAACGCUAAUACCGCAUACGUCCUACGGGAGAAAGCAGGGGACCUUCGGGCCUUGCGCUAUCAGAUGAGCCUAGGUCGGAUUAGCUAGUUGGUGGGGUAAUGGCUCACCAAGGCGACGAUCCGUAACUGGUCUGAGAGGAUGAUCAGUCACACUGGAACUGAGACACGGUCCAGACUCCUACGGGAGGCAGCAGUGGGGAAUAUUGGACAAUGGGCGAAAGCCUGAUCCAGCCAUGCCGCGUGUGUGAAGAAGGUCUUCGGAUUGUAAAGCACUUUAAGUUGGGAGGAAGGGCAGUAAGUUAAUACCUUGCUGUUUUGACGUUACCGACAGAAUAAGCACCGGCUAACUCUGUGCC
rnacentral:rRNA from 1 species